rnacentral:rRNA from 1 species
GACGAACGCUGGCGGCGCGCUUAACACAUGCAAGUCGAACGGAAAGGCCUGCUUUCCCUUGUGGAUUGCGGGUACUCGAGUGGCGAACGGGUGAGUAACACGUGAGUGAUCUGCCCCCAACUUGGGUAUAAGCCUGGGAAACUGGGUCUAAUUCCCGAUAGGACUGCAGGGUGGUGCCUGUGGUGGAAAACGAUUUUCUAGAGGUUGGGGAUGAGCUCGCGGCCUAUCAGCUUGUUGGUGGGGGAAUGGCCUACCAAGGCGGCGACGGGUAGCCGGCCUGGGAUGGUGGACGUCCGCAUUGGGACUGCGAUACGGCCCAGACUCCUACGGGAGGCAGCAGUGGGGAAUAUUGCACAAUGGGCGGAAGCCUGAUGCAGCGACGCCGCGUGGGGGAUGACGGCCUUCGGGUUGUAAACUCCUUUCGACCGCGAGGAAGCCACCUGGUUGGAAGGGUGGUGACGGUAGUGGUAGAAGAAGCACCGGCUAACUACGUG